AUUGAACGCUGGCGGCGUGCCUAACACAUGCAAGUCGAGCGGUAACGCGGGAGCAAUCCUGGCGACGAGCGGCGAACGGGUGAGUAACGCUUCGGAAUCUGCCCAGUAGUGGGGAAUAACUAACCGAAAGGUUAGCUAAUGCCGCAUACGAUCUACGGAUGAAAGCGGGGGAUCGCAAGACCUCGCGCUAUUGGAUGAGCCGAAGUCGGAUUAGCUAGUUGGUAGGGUAACGGCCUACCAAGGCGACAAUCCGUAGCUGGUCUGAGAGGACGACCAGCCACACUGGGACUGAGACACGGCCCAGACUCCUACGGGAGGCAGCAGUGGGGAAUAUUGGACAAUGGGGGAAACCCUGAUCCAGCGACGCCGCGUGUGUGAAGAAGGCCUGCGGGUUGUAAAGCACUUUUAGUGGGGAUGAAAAGCUCAGGGCUAAUACCUCUGGGUCUUGACCUAACCCAAAGAAAAAGCACCGGCUAACUCUGUGCCAGCCGCCGCUGUAAGAC
rnacentral:rRNA from 1 species